UAGUAGUCAUAUGACUGACGGAAGUGGAGUUACCACAUGAAGUAUGACUGAGGUAUAUUGUUUUAUAUGCCAAAAUAAGCCGACCGUCUGGGCGAGAAAG
rnacentral:ncRNA from 2 species